rnacentral:rRNA from 1 species
CCUACGGGAGGCAGCAGUGGGGAAUAUUGCACAAUGGGGGAAACCCUGAUGCAGCGACGCCGCGUGAGUGAAGAAGUAUUUCGGUAUGUAAAGCUCUAUCAGCAGGGAAGAAAUAAAGUCCUUCGGACUUUGGACGGUACCUGACUAAGAAGCACCGGCUAACUACGUGCCAGCAGCCGCGGCAAUACGUAGGGGGCAAGCGUUAUCCGGAUUUACUGGGUGUAAAGGGAGCGUAGGCGGCAGCGCAAGUCUGGAGUGAAAUCCCAUGGCUUAACCAUGGAACUGCUUUGGAAACUGUGCAGCUGGAGUGCAGGAGAGGUAAGCGGAAUUCCUGGUGUAGCGGUGAAAUGCGUAGAUAUUAGGAAGAACACCAGUGGCGAAGGCGGCUUACUGGACUGUAACUGACGUUGAGGCUCGAAAGCGUGGGGAGCAAACAGGAUUAGAUACCCUUGUAGUC